ensembl:lncRNA
GUAAGACCCUGGUCCUCCUCCUCAACGUGUCAGUUUAUACCAGUAGAAGUAGCAGUUCUACACUCCACCUACUCAUAGGGGAAACAUUGUGAAAAAUAUCCUGAAAUUAAGGAGUAUUUAAUGACAAAUCUAAAAUAAAUCUGGUUUAGAGUUCAGGAAUAAUAUAUUGUUCGUUAAUGUUUUUUUAUACGACCUUGAUGUGAGAUAAAAAAAAAAAAAUGUUACGCGUUUUUGACGGCCAGCUAUGCAGCAUUUGUUCAAAUCAUUUCACACCUGGGCUACCUCAGGAAUAGAGAAAUGAGUGAACUAUCGCAUGAAACAGAUUCAGUUUUUCCUCAUUUAAAAAAAAUGAAUCGUCAUCGUUGAACGACGACCAUAGACUUUGGAAUCAGUCAGGUGAAAUCUGCUGCCUUGAUUUUCAACAACAACGCCAAACUGAUCAAUGUAUGCUAGGUAGCUAACAUCGCCAAACUGAUCAAUGUACGCUAGCUAGCUAACAUCGCCAAAAUGAUCAAUGUACGCUAGCUAGCUAACAUCGCCAAAAUGAUCAAUGUACGCUAGCUAGCUAACAUCGCCAAACUGAUCAAUGUACGCUAGCUAGCUAACAUCGGCAAAAUGAUCAAUGUACGCUAGCUAGCUAACAUCGGCAAAAUGAUCAAUGUACGCUAGGUAGCUAACAUCGGCAAAAUGAUCAAUGUACGCUAGGUAGCUAACAUCGCCAAAAUGAUCUAUGUACGCUAGCUAGCUAACAUCUGCAAAAUGAUCAAUGUACGCUAGCUAGCUCAGGGACUUUUUCUGCAGAUUGUCUUGAAUAGUUUAAAUAGUUCAGAUAUAUCUCUGCUUGAUAAUUUCAUUGCCACAACUGCUAUGAAAGUAUUGAACACACUAAUGCCCCCAAUCCUAACUCCACUUUCAUUCAUCAUGCCGUCAAUUCAUAGAAAGAAUGUUAGGAUUCAGGCCCACGGUGAGUUAU